UACGUAGGGUGCGAGCGUUGUCCGGAAUUAUUGGGCGUAAAGAGCUUGUAGGUGGCUCGUCGCGUCGGGAGUGAAAACCCGCGGCUUAACCGCGGGCCUGCUUCGAUACGGGCGGGCUAGAGUUCGGCAGGGGAGACUGGAAUUCCUGGUGUAGCGGUGGAAUGCGCAGAUAUCAGGAGGAACACCGGUGGCGAAGGCGGGUCUCUGGGCCGAUACUGACACUGAGAAGCGAAAGCGUGGGGAGCGAACAGG
rnacentral:rRNA from 1 species